CCUGGCUCAGGAUGAACGCCGGCGGUGUGCCUAAUACAUGCAAGUCGAACGCGUUGGCCCAAUUGAUUGAUGGUGCUUGCACCUGAUUGAUUUUGGUCGCCAACGAGUGGCGGACGGGUGAGUAACACGUAGGUAACCUGCCCAGAAGCGGGGGACAACAUUUGGAAACAGAUGCUAAUACCGCAUAACAACGUUGUUCGCAUGAACAACGCUUAAAAGAUGGCUUCUCGCUAUCACUUCUGGAUGGACCUGCGGUGCAUUAGCUUGUUGGUGGGGUAACGGCCUACCAAGGCGAUGAUGCAUAGCCGAGUUGAGAGACUGAUCGGCCACAAUGGGACUGAGACACGGCCCAUACUCCUACGGGAGGCAGCAGUAGGGAACCUUCCACAAUGGGCGCAAGCCUGAUGGAGCAACACCGCGUGAGUGAAGAAGGGUUUCGGCUCGUAAAGCUCUGUUGUUAAAGAAGAACACGUAUGAGAGUAACUGUUCAUACGUUGACGGUAUUAACCAGA
rnacentral:rRNA from 2 species